GAGACCCGGGCCCUCGCCGCCCGCCCGCUUAGCGCCACCCAGGGGACCCGGCUGUCCAGCCCCGGCCCCUGAGGCCGGACGUCUUGACCCUGGGCCUCUCCGGCCCGCUGGGCCCCUCCCCUAUCCGCGGCCCCGCCCCCACCCACAAGGUCUCGGCUUGCCCUGGGGUCCUCACAGGCCCCCACACGUCGUGACCUCGGAGAUGAGAGACUUCACAACUCCCCUUGCCGCCCCCGGAUACCGCUCCCCGCCCGGGACCCCGACGUCUGGCCUCCCAGCCCCCGGGUGGGCUGCGGCUGGCCGUCCCCCUCCCUCCGCACAGGAAGUGUCCGUCCGCGGCCAGUUUCCCCCGCUGGCUAGCGCCGCGGCCUCUCUAGGAGCGACUGGAGGUGGAAACUCGUUGGCAUUAACCCUGGGCUGGAUGGCCCCGGCGUCGAGGUAGGCGAGGACUGGGCGCCCUGGAGCCGGCGGGAGAAGCUGGGACAGUUUGUAUGCCUAUGUCCUAGGUCCUGUCCUCCCGGGGGCCUAUACGUCCGUCUCCCGGCCCUGCGUCCGUCAGUGCCUGUGGCCAAGGGCGAGGCAACAAGCGAGACCAAGGUUCCAGGUGCCGAAGUGGCCAGUCGGGGGGGAUCCUGCCGCAGAAAGAAGGUUGUUUCCUCUUCUGUUACCCUGCCUCUCCCCUCCACCUUCCCCAAAGACUGAGUUUAACUCAAUCCCUUGGAGCCUUUGUCCCUGGUUCCUGGAUUUUCUCAGGAGUGGAAGUGGAUAGGAGAGAACCACUCUCCAGUCCUGUCUGACUUGGAUAGAGGCUUGUAGAGGAAGGGAACCUGAGAAACACUGCCCUAGGUGCAGCUUUGAAUCAAAGGAAAAGUGACCCUGGAAAGACAAUUUAAUAGGAUCCAGUUCUUGUCCUUCUACUACCCUUGCUGCUGAAACUAGUUGGUAGUGUUCUUUCUUCUUUUUUUUCCCGGUACGCGGGCCUCUUACUGUUGUGGCCUCUCCCGUUGCGGAGCACAGGCUCCGGACGCGCAGGCCCAGCGACCAUGGCUCACGGGUCCCGCCGCUCCGCGGCAUGUGUGAUCCUCCCGGACCGGGGCACGAAGCCGUGUCCCCUGCAUCGGCAGGUGGACUCUCAACCACUGCGCCACCAGGGAAGCCCUGGUAGUGUUCUUGACAAUUAAUGAACCAAAUUCUCUCUGUGGGAGUGAUGCAGGAACCAUAGAUUGUGUUUUCUUGUUGCCUUACCAGACAAAGGAAAGGAGGAAACUACUUAGGAGGAAAGAUGGCAUCUUCCAUUCUCCUGAAAGGAGAUGAGAACAAGAAUUUGGAGAAUUCCAAAGGAGAAAAGGCUGGAGAGACGCGAUCUCAGUUCUCAGUAGAGGCUUACAGACAGAAUCACAGAUAGAGAUACCUUCCUACAAAUAAAGCAGGAGUCUUUUUCUGCCCUCCAGAGGAUCAGCUUCCAGCUCCAUGCCUCUCUCCCAUCCCACUGUCUGUCCUAAAACCUUCAUGAAGAAUGGCUCACAGGGUCCAGCGCUAGAGGGCCCACACAGGCAGAACACCCUACAAGUGCAGUGAUUAUGGGAAGAGCUGGACCUGGGCCACCUCCUGGUCAUCCCCAAAGCACACAAAUGAGAGACAAAAGUCUCCUUCAUGAGACACUUUUCUCUGACCUCCUACCUGCUUACCCACCAGAAAAUUCCCACAGGAGAGCAGCCGUCCCCUGCAAAGUAUGUGGCGAGUCCUCCAGCCCCAGCUCUGACAUGGUCCCUGCCUGCACUCUUCAUAGCGUGGGCCACAAGCCCCACGAAUAGCAGAAGUUGGGCCAGGGCUUCAGUCUGCUCUGGCACCAGUAUUUCCAUGUGGAAAUUCAGUCUCACUAGUACCUGGCUGACUUCCAGGCAGCCUCCUCCAGCACCUAUCCUCUCUAUGCAAUGGACCUUCGAGAGGCAGCCAGCCUCUGCCGGCCGCAUGCCCAUAGCAGGGAUAGGCUCUAAGCACAGGGAAGACUCUGAUGAGGGUUCCAACUUGACCAAGUGCAUGUCCUGAGUUGGGCAGCCACUUUGUCCACAGCAUCAUCCCUCAAUGUGCAGCAGCACUGGGGCAGUGUGCAGCCACAGUUCAUGGUCCAACCAACUUGGCCCACACCCAAGAGAGUCCUGACAAAGGCUCUGUGUGAGAGGGGCUUCUGUGUGAUCUGCUUCCUCCCUGCAUGCAAAGGACAAGCCCUCUAAGAGGGCUUCUGUCAGAUGCUACAAGAGAUGCCCAGGUAUAUUCAAGAAGCUUUGAGGUACCCAGAAAGAGACCAAUCAUGACACAGGCCCCUUUGCGAAGAACAAAGGAAAUGGGAGUCUUUGUGUAUGGCGAAGUCAUCAGCUGGCCUGACACAUUUGGAACAGGCCCUGACACCAACCCCUACUCUUCUAACGCUAAGAACAGCUAGAAAAUAACAUUUUUACGUUCAGAGCAGUGGUUCUCUCAAACUUUAGCAGCCAUAAGAUUCCAUUGCUGGAGAUACAAUAAACUAGGGACAGGCCCAGGGAGCUAGCUGCAUUUUGAAGAGAUAACUGCAUGUGAUUCUGUGGCAGAAAGGCCUUACUUUGAAAAAUAUUGGCCUAGAGCAGGUUUUAGCUUCUGAGUCAUAAACGUCUUUGCAUGCACUGUUCCUAGAAAGAUACACAUAAACAAAUAUUCCCCCCAAAUUUAGGGGUCUUUGGAGCUCAGAUCAAUACUUAUCCUUUACAUGGCUUGGACAAACUAGGAAGGGGCAUGUGGUCAUGGCCUUGACCUCUCACUCUGGCCAUGUGGAUGGGGCUCAUGUUUUCACUGAUGCAGACAAGCAUUUCUCCUGAUGCACCAAUGAAGCCCUAGGAAAACCCUCUUCCUGGCUUAAAUUGCUUCAAGGGCUGAGCCUCAAAAACCUGUGGUAGUGGAGAGAAAAGGGAGCCUUACCUUUAGGGGAAGUAUCCGUGCCAAGGAGUGAGGAGCCAAGAAGGGGGUGAGGCUGAGGCUUAAGCGUUCCAUGAUACUCAAAUAUUAAGUGAGGGGGAAAUUGGGUCACGAGGGCAGGAAGCAGAGGAGUUGGUUCUGGUUUGGGGGCCCUACGCAAGUCUUGAAAACUUAAGCGCACUCAGAGAAAGUAGUAAUUAUACCUUUAAUUGGCAAGCUCAGACAGGGUCCAGAUCUGGCUUUGAGGCUGACCUGAGAAGUGGUAUUGCAGGCUGAGUUUCCCCCAGGCAGUGCUGAGGGGCAGGGGAAGGAUGGGUUGGACACUGGCUUCUCUAGGGGAAUAAAAGCUGGCACAAAGGUAGCUACUACUGCCAAGGUGCCUCUCCUUACUCCCACAUUCCCCCUGUGACAGGUGGCAUAUGAGCCAAUCCUCCUGGUGAAGUUUAGUAUAAGAGAGAUCUUGGUGGGGUCAGAUUGGAAGAUUAGGUUGGAAUCAAGUCAGUCCAUCACUUUACCUGAAGUGUCUUUUCCCCAAGUUUUGUACCUCUUCCUAUAGAAGUUUCUUUAGGUUGACAAAUCUGGUUUCUUCCUAAGGCCAGACACAGGGCUGAGUUCUCAGAAGGGAAGUGCACACAGGCCACCGAGGACAUAAGUCUUUGCUACUUCUACUUGAGGGGAAGGGUCAUCCUGACCAGAGGCAAGAAAGGGUCUGCACAUGGCUGGCUGCUUCCAUCACCUGGACAAGGCUGGACUCUGACCACAAAGGAAUGAGUGGUAGAUGGAUGAUGGAGUCACAGGGUGAUGGGGGAGGGAUUCUGUGCAGAGCUUGGGAAUAUAGAAUAGUACAGUUCCCUCUGGCUACUAACCCCAAAUGUUCCUGGCCUUGUCCCCCUUUGCUGGUGAUGGAGGUCCUGAAGAGAGUGAAGAUGCGAGCUUUGCUUUUGUUGGCCCUGGAACUCUCAUCUAAGGCUGCUUUCUCCCUUGCCUUGUUGGCUAUGUGGCUGUUUUGUCACUCAUCUUGUACCUGGGCUUCACUAACACUGGGCUGCUCUGUCCCUAGUCUAGGUCAGUGCCUGGGUGUCAUCUCAGGGAGGGGGGAGAUGCUUCCAGAACCCUGGCUGAGACACUGACAAGGAACACAGGAGUGGUAUGGUAAAGACAGCAGGAAACAAAGAAUCCUAGCAUCUCACUCUGUGUGUGACCUUGGACAGGUUGCUCAGCUUUCCCCAGUCUCAGUGUCCCCAGAUGCAAAAGGAUGGAAAAGCUAAGAUCUCUUCCAGUUCAAAAAUGUGAUGAGGCCCUCCUGGCUGGGCCUAGAAUAGCAAAGCCUGAGCCAUAGGGCUCUCCGAGGGAGGCCCAUGGAGUACUAGAGGGGUCUCUCAGGCCCCUGCCCUUCAAAAACAGGAAGUGCAGGUCAGCUGAGUGGUGCUGAGGUGGAGACACCACUCCAUUUGGGGCAAAACAUUCAGUCCUGACUGCCUCUUCCUGAUGGGCUGUCCUCUCCAAGCAAGAUGCUUCCUUCCAUAUGCAAUUAUGAGGGUGAAAUGAGUUGGACAAGACAGUACUUUGUAAACCAUAAAAUGCAAUACGAGCCAAGAUCUAACAUAAAGCCUCCUUUUACUUCUCUCCUGCCACCCUUUUACAAAUAUGCUCUCUACCUGAAUCCCUGAUUCAAGAACAAUUGAAUGCUGUAGACUACAGUUUGCAAACUCAAAUGACUACAGGAACCCAACAGGUCAUGUAAAUGAGUAGAAAAAUGCCAGAUGGAGAGGGCCUGCUUUGCCAGAGAUGUUGGCGAGCCAUGAUGAGUGCCAGCUGACACUGGACAGGAGGUGACAAGGAGUGGCAGGCAUGCUGAACUGGAGAGCCUGGUCUCCAUCCAAAGGGACAACUGCCCCUCAGCUCUCACCAAUUGUGGUUUUGUGGGAGCUCAGGUGGAGUUGCCAAAUCUUCGGAUUUUUCAAGAGAGGCCAGAAACCUGGUUUUCUGUGUGAAAUAUCCUGAUUUUUAAAUCUUAACCAAUAAUUCAUAACAUUUAAAAAUGCUGGCUGGGCUAAAAAAAAAAAAUUAAAG